AUACGGAGGAUCCGAGCGUUAUCCGGAUUUAUUGGGUUUAAAGGGUGCGCAGGCGGCCAUUUAAGUCAGCGGUUAAAUCGUGGGGCUCAACCCCAUUCUGCCGUUGAUACUGGGUGGCUUGAUUGCGGUCGAGGUUGGCGGAAUUCGUUGUGUAGCGGUGAAAUGCAUAGAUAUGACGAAGUACACCGAUUGCGUAGGCAGCUGACCAGAUCGCAAAUGACGCUCAUGCACGAAAGUGCGGGGAUCGAACAGGAUUAGAUACCCUGGUAGUCCGCACAGUAAACGAUGAAUACUUGUUUUCGGCGAUAUAAUGUCGGAGGUAAAGCGAAAGCGAUAAGUAUUCCACCUGGGGAGUACGCCGGCAACGGUGAAACUCAAAUGAAUUGGCGGGG
rnacentral:rRNA from 1 species